GUUUAUUUAAUUUAAAUAAAAUAUUAGAUUGUGAUUCUAAAUAUAAAAG
rnacentral:tRNA from 1 species